GAUGAACGCUGGCGGCGUGCCUAAUACAUGCAAGUCGAGCGAACGGACGAGAAGCUUGCUUCUCUGAUGUUAGCGGCGGACGGGUGAGUAACACGUGGAUAACCUACCUAUAAGACUGGGAUAGCUUCGGGAAACCGUAGCUGAUACCGGAUAAUAUUUUGAACCGCAUGGUUCAAAAGUGAAAGACGGUCUUGCUGUCACUUAUAGAUGGAUCCGCGCUGCAUUAGCUAGUUGGUAAGGUAACGGCUUACCAAGGCAACGAUGCAUAGCCGACCUGAGAGGGUGAUCGGCCACACUGGAACUGAGACACGGUCCAGACUCCUACGGGAGGCAGCAGUAGGGAAUCUUCCGCAAUGGGCGAAAGCCUGACGGAGCAACGCCGCGUGAGUGAUGAAGGUCUUCGGAUCGUAAAACUCUGUUAUUAGGGAAGAACAUAUGUGUAAGUAACUGUGCACAUCUUGACGGUACCUAAUCAGAAAGCCACGGCUAACUACGUG
rnacentral:rRNA from 1 species